rnacentral:rRNA from 1 species
GAUGAACGCUGGCGGCGUGCUUAAUACAUGCAAGUCGAACGAAGAGCCUUUGUAGCAAUACGAGGGCUUCUUAGUGGCGAACGGGUGCGUAACGCGUUGGUGACCUGCCCCGAAGUGUGGGAUAACAGUUCGAAAGGACUGCUAAUACCGCAUGUGGUUUUCCGGAUCAGAUGCCGGAUCUCUAAAGCAGUAAUGCGCUUCGGGAGAGACCUGCGUCCCAUCAGCUAGUUGGUGAGGCAACGGCCCACCAAGGCUACGACGGGUAGGGGAACUGAGAGGGUGGUCCCCCACACUGGCACUGAAACACGGGCCAGACACCUACGGGUGGCAGCAGUAGGGAAUAUUGGGCAAUGGGCGAAAGCCUGACCCAGCAACGCCGCGUGCACGAUGAAGGUCUUCGGAUCGUAAAGUGCUUUUCUGGGAGAUGAGAAAGAACAGUAUCCCAGGAAUAAGUCUCGGCUAACUACGUGCCAGCCGCCGCGGUAAAAC